CUUCAGACUGAGUGUCUUAUUCCGUCUUUACCUGCGUUGGCCCUGCCGACAGCUAAUCCCCCUCCGAUAGGGCCGAGAGGUUUAUCCACUGUGUUUGAAGAGUUCUCCCACAAGUCCCUCAGCGUCAUACCACUCA